GGAAUCUUCGGCAAUGGGGCAACCCUGACCGAGCAACGCCGCGUGAGUGAAGAAGGUUUUCGGAUCGUAAAGCUCUGUUGUAAGAGAAGAACGUGCGUGAGAGCAACUGUUCACGCAGUGACGGUAUCUAACCAGAAAGUCACGGCUAACUACGUGCCAGCAGCCGCGGUAAUACGUAGGUGGCAAGCGUUAUCCGGAUUUAUUGGGCGUAAAGCGAGCGCAGGCGGUUUGAUAAGUCUGAUGUGAAAGCCUUUGGCUUAACCAAAGAAGUGCAUCGGAAACUGUCAGACUUGAGUGCAGAAGAGGACAGUGGAACUCCAUGUGUAGCGGUGGAAUGCGUAGAUAUAUGGAGGAACACCGGUGGCGAAAGCGGCUCUCUGGUCUGUAACUGACGCUGAGGCUCGAAAGCGUGGGGAGCAAACA
rnacentral:rRNA from 1 species